UAGAGAUUUGUUUAACAGCCA
rnacentral:miRNA from 1 species